GACGAGCGCGGCGGCGUGCUUAACACAUGCAAGUCGAACGGAGCGAAUGAAAGCUUGCUUUUAUGAGCUUAGUGGCAAACGGGUGAGUAACACGUAGACAACCUGCCGACAGGAUGGGGACAACAUUCCGAAAGGAAUGCUAAUACCGAAUGAAGCGGAGGAGAGGCAUCUCUCUUCCGUGAAAGAUGGCCUCUGAAGAUGCUAUCACCUGUCGAUGGGUCUGCGUCUGAUUAGCUGGUUGGUGAGGUAACGGCUCACCAAGGCGACGAUCAGUAGCCGGUUGAGAGGAUGAACGGCCACAUUGGGACUGAGACACGGCCCAGACUCCUACGGGAGGCAGCAGUGGGGAAUCUUCCGCAAUGGGCGCAAGCCUGACGGAGCAACGCCGCGUGAGUGAAGAAGGUCUUCGGAUCGUAAAGCUCUGUUGAUGGGGACGAACGUACGGAGUGCGAAUAGUGCUUCUUAAAG
rnacentral:rRNA from 1 species